AUUGAACGCUGGCGGCAGGCCUAACACAUGCAAGUCGAGCGAGCGGCGGACGGGUGAGUAAUGUCUGGGAAACUGCCUGAUGGAGGGGGAUAACUACUGGAAACGGUAGCUAAUACCGCAUACGAUCAGAUGUGCCCAGAUGGGAUUAGAUAUGAGGUGGGGUAAUGGCUCACCUAGGCGACGAUCCCUAGGGUGGCGGAGGGGAGGACCAGCCACACUGGAACUGAGAAACGGUACAGACUCCUACGGGAGGCAGCAGUGGGGAAUUUUGCACAAUGGGCGCAAGCCUGAUGCAGCCAUGGCGCGUGUGUGAAGAAGGCCUUCGGGUUGUAAAGCACUUGCAGCGGGGAAGCGUUACCCGCAGAAGAAGCACCGGCUAACUCCGUGCCAGCAGCCGCGGUAAUUC
rnacentral:rRNA from 1 species